GAACAACUGACCGUCAACCAAAAGAGCAAAACCUUUCUUCAACUUGCUUCGCUAUGCCCCACGAUUCUCACUCAGUAGCUGACAUCUGAGCCCGACAUACCCAAUCUCCAAAUCAACUCCAACCCCUCAGAAAAUCCCUCCUCACUUUCCCCUCUUUUUUCCCUCCAAAAAAAAGCAAACAAGAUUCAACCCUAGACGCAGAUUCACGCACGCACACUGUACUGCUUCUCAAACAAAGAUUACCGAAAAACAUGGGUCAUGUAUCUACUGGAAAAAUGCAAGCUUUCCCAGCCAUAAGGUCCUCCGAGCUUUCCUCUCUACCAGGAGCAGCCUUUUUCAGACCCAGGACUCAACUCACUUUUCCCAAUAAAUUGUUCUUCUGCCGUGCAAAAUAUGCUGAAUCGGGUAACGCAGGGUUGCACAACUUAAUAUUUGCGCCUGCAAAUCCAUUAGUUACGGAGAAGGAAGAAGCCAAGGCUGUUUUGACCUUGUUUUUGAAGAAACAAGGUUUGAGCAAUGCGGUUGCAGCAAGAACUGUCGACAAAUCUGCACUUUUUAUCGAUCACCUUGUUUCAAGGAUUCAUUCUGUUCAUAAAAAUCGGUAUCCGGGAGGUUCAAGGCAAGAGCUUACAACUCUUGAGAUCAGGGACGCUUUAAAUCCAUACCUUGAAACCCUCUACGAGGAGUUUGGAGACAUUCUGGUAGAUGUAGUUGAAAACUUUCCAAAUCCAGCCACUGAAGAAAGAUCAACAGAAAAUUUAUCAAUCCCGUCUUUGGAAGAAGAACCGGUUUCAGCCCCUAUUACCACCCUCAACUCCAAGAAGUUAAAAGCCUUGGCAAGAUUGACUGACGACGGUCUCACUGGGAAGCCGCCUCCACAUAUUAUCUACCUCACAGCACUUGGCAUGGAAAUUGAGGUGAUCGAAGAAGUGACAAGCAAGUUUCCUUCCUUUGCUUACUAUAGCUUGGAUAGGAAAAUUAAACCUGUGGUUGAAGUCCUACUUGAUCUUGGGAUACCUAAAUCCGAUAUCCCCACCAUUCUCAGCAAAAGGCCCCAUCUAUGUGGAAUCCGUCAGACGGAAAAAUUAUUAAUACCCACUAUUACGUAUUUAAAGAACUUGGGCAUGGACAAGAAACAGUUGACAAAGGCAAUUUGUCGAUUCCCUGCGCUUCUCACUUGUAGCAGGCAGAAGUUGGAAUCAACUAUUGAUCUGCUUUAUGAAUUGGGGCUUCCAGCCGAACACCUGGGUAAGGUUCUAACGCGUGGUCCGCAGAUCUUAGGUUAUAGUGGGGAGACUCUAAAGGCUAGAGCGAAGUACUUCCAUUCUAUUGGGGUUGAUGUUGGCAGUCUUCUCUACAGAUAUCCGACAAUUUUUGGUCUAAACAUUGAGACCCAUUUGAAACCUUUGACAGAGUUUUUCUUGGAGAAAGGAUUCAGUACUGCGGAUAUAGCAUCAAUGAUUUCCGGGUUUGGAAGUCUGUGUACUUUUAGCUUGUCAAACAACAUUAUGCCCAAGUGGGAGUUUUUUUUGACCAUGUGCUACCCGAAAUCUGAUCUGGUUAAAGUCCCUCAGUAUUUUGUGUACAGUUUGGAGCUGAGGAUUAAACCCAGGUAUGCAACAAUGAGGGAAAGUGAAGUAACGUUGUCUCUGGGUCGGUUACUCUAUCUUUCAGAUGGCGACUUGGACAAGGUUUUGAAACAAAAAAUGAACAAACAUGUUGGAUGAAAUGGAUUACUACAAGAUUGCAAGAUUUUUCUGUUCAUCACGGGGGGUUCAACUAGAGGUUUACGAGGGAAAGCGGAGUAAUGUCGACUCUGAAACGGUUUCUCUGUCUUUCGAAUGUUGAGUUGGAUAAGGUUUGCAGACAAGACAAAAGAAGAAGGGUGAUAUGGUUUUGAAACGAAAAAUGAUGGAAAAUGUCGGAUGAAUCUGUUUCGAUUCCAAGCUUUGUCUGUUCAUUGCAGGUGAUUCAAUCCCAGUUUUGUUAUAGCCUCUGGUCCAAAAUCCCAGUAAAGUUAUUGGUUAGGCUUUAUCACUGAUGAAUUACUUAGAACCAGAGAUUAUCAGGCUCGGGGCAUUUCGUUGUUGUUCAUCAGUAUCAUUUCAAGGACCAGCUUAGUUUUAAUUGUAUCUGUUGUAUAAAUAAAUUGUUUUGAUAUUCUUCAAAUGUUAAUAAGAACAAUUUAAUGUUGCUUUUA